CAGCAGCCGCGGUAAUACGAAGGGUGCAAGCGUUAAUCGGAAUUACUGGGCGUAAAGCGUGCGUAGGCGGUUUGUUAAGUCUGCUGUGAAAUCCCCGGGCUCAACCUGGGAAUGGCAGUGGAUACUGGCAAGCUAGAGUGUGUCAGAGGAUGGUGGAAUUCCCGGUGUAGCGGUGAAAUGCGUAGAGAUCGGGAGGAACAUCAGUGGCGAAGGCGGCCAUCUGGGACAACACUGACACUGAGGCACGAAAGCGUGGGGAGCAAACAGGAUUAGAGACCCGCGUAGUCCCUGUCUCUUAUAC
rnacentral:rRNA from 1 species